rnacentral:tRNA from 1 species
CCUUAAAGCUCAGGGGUUAGAGCACUGGUCUUGUAAACCAGGAGUCGCGAUUUCAAAUGGCGCUGGGG